rnacentral:rRNA from 1 species
AGUGAACGCUGGCGGUAGGCCUAACACAUGCAAGUCGAACGGCAGCACAGUAAGAGCUUGCUCUUACGGGUGGCGAGUGGCGGACGGGUGAGGAAUACAUCGGAAUCUACUUUUUCGUGGGGGAUAACGUAGGGAAACUUACGCUAAUACCGCAUACGACCUACGGGCGAAAGCAGGGGAUCUUCGGACCUUGCGCGAUUGAAUGAGCCGAUGUCGGAUUAGCUAGUUGGCGGGGUAAAGGCCCACCAAGGCGACGAUCCGUAGCUGGUCUGAGAGGAUGAUCAGCCACACUGGAACUGAGACACGGUCCAGACUCCUACGGGAGGCAGCAGUGGGGAAUAUUGGACAAUGGGCGCAAGCCUGAUCCAGCCAUACCGCGUGGGUGAAGAAGGCCUUCGGGUUGUAAAGCCCUUUUGUUGGGAAAGAAAAGCAGCAGGUUAAUACCCCGCCGUUCUGACGGUACCCAAAGAAUAAGCACCGGCUAACUUCGUG